GAUGAACGCUGGCGGCGUGCCUAACACAUGCAAGUCGAGCGAUUUACUUCGGUAAAGAGCGGCGGACGGGUGAGUAACGCGUGGGUAACCUGCCCUAUACACACGGAUAACAUACCGAAAGGUAUGCUAAUACGAGAUAAUAUAAGAGAUUCACAUGGAUUUCUUAUCAAAGCUUAGGCGGUAUAGGAUGGACCCGCGUCUGAUUAGCUAGUUGGUAAGGUAACGGCUUACCAAGGCGACGAUCAGUAGCCGACCUGAGAGGGUGAUCGGCCACAUUGGAACUGAGACACCGUCCAAAAUCCUACGGGAGGAAGCAGUGGGGAAUAUUGAACAAUGGGCGAAAGCCUGAUGCAGCAACGCCGCGUGAGUGAUGAAGGCCUUCGGGUCGUAAAACUCUGUCCUCAAGGAAGAUAAUGACGGUACUUGAGGAGGAAGCCCCGGCUAACUACGUGCCAGCAGCCGCCGUAACAC
rnacentral:rRNA from 1 species